rnacentral:lncRNA from 1 species
UUUGUUUCGCUAUCUUACCGAUCUUUUCUCUGAGCUCUUUCAUCCUGUGUGCCAUCUUGACCUUAAACUUCAGAUGCAUCGGAUUAGCGCGGGACAGAAAUCCACGUACCUUUUCAUCUUCCGUCCGGAUCUCGUCCAGCAGGUCGUCGGCGUCGUAGGCGGCGUCCUUCAGUUUGCGCAGCCAGUCGCGCAGAGCGUGGCUCUCCUUCCCAACGCUGCUCCGCUCCUCGGCGUCGAGAAGCACCGCCUGGAUCGCCGAGAAGUUGCUUCUGAGAUCAUCCGCGUCGUCCUUGAAGCUCCGCAGCAGCCCGAUUUCGUCCCCGAGAGCGGAGCCCAGCUUGCCCAGCACUCCUUUCACCAGAUCGAAUGCGAUCCCCUCCGCCAUCGCGCGCGCGUGCUGCUGCCUAAUUCUUCUCAAUACGAACGUCCUACUACAGAGAAGCAGAGGAUAAUGAAGGGUAUGCUCUCCACCACUGGAAGAUGAUUGCUCCAAUUAUUAUUGCGCUACUGCUCCAAUUAUUGUGCUGCACGCUACUCCCCCAAUCGUCUUUAUCCUAUUGUACAGAUUAUAAAAAUAUUAUCAGUUUCAAAUUGGAUCUUGUCGUUUCUGUGUCCAUUUUUUAAAAAUGGAGCGGCGGGAAUGGUGGGCCGCCCUUAUUAUUAUUAUUAUUAUUAUUAUUAUUAUUAUUAUUAUUAUUAUUUUCUCAUACAACUGAAGAAAACGGAAUGAAGAUGUUUGAGAUUUCUGAAAGAUGAUUAAAUGGUAUCACUUAAGAAAUUAAAAAAGCAGUCAAAAUCAGUUUUAGUUUCGAAUAAUUUUGAAUCCGAAUUUUAAAAAGGAAUAGUGAAUCUUAAUUUGAACCCAAAAAAUUUCAAUUUUCAGAUCCGAAUCUGAUUCCAAAAUUGAUAAUAAAAUUUCAAACCAAAUCCUAAUCUUUGGCUUCACAGUCCAGUCAGAUUGAAUAAUACCAGCAUAAUUUUCACCCCAAGGCAUUAUUCUAACAUGCUAUUAUACUUGAAGAAUUGAAUUGAUAUUUAUAAAUUUUGAUUGCCCAAAAAAAAGAAAAAGAAAAAAGUAUGGAGACCACUGGAGCACUGCACCACAAGUGCACCACAGUUCAAAUCGGCUUUUUAAUUAGCAUUGGUCUUCUUAAUUGCCAUUAAAAAAUUUAUUUUCUUAAUUUACACCACUUUAUACUAUCAUUUUUUUUAAAAAAAAAUUAGACCCUGCCGGCGAAAAAUAUAGAAAAUUUUAUUAUGCCUAAUUAUCUCAAAUCUAUAUAAACUAGAUUGGCUAUUGGAAUUUUUUUUCAAAACUAUCGUUGCUAUCGUAAACGAAAAUAAAAAUUUUUUUUAUUUAUCGUCCCUAGAGCAAGUGGCAGAGAGCUUGGUCAAUGGUAUCCGAGACCCAAAUUCAAAUUCCAGUUGAUUCAUAUUUCCAGCUAAGUUUAUUUCUAAAUAAAAUAAAACGACGGGGUAACGUGCGACCUAUCUCUCUCUCUCUCAAAAAAAAAAAAAAAAAGAGCUUAGCUUUCUUUUGUAUCUGUCGAUCGACAUUCUAUAUUAUAUAUUAGAGGCAAUGGUUCAUUUGUUUUUGUAUACAUCUCAUUGCUGCUCCACUCUUGAUUGUGCUUCACAUAGGUUUAAAUAAAACAAAAACAGAAAACGACCUUGUUAUUAAUAUAGGGGUCUAAUUAAGACAAAUAAAUAUAUAAAUGAAAAAAAAAAAAAAGUUGAGUGGAGCAAUUUCAUACGCCAGUAUAGUGCACGUGACUUUAUGCAUUUUAGCCCCCCCAAAAAAUUGUAUUAUUUUGUUGAAAACUUGAAAUGCGAACAGACGUAAGAGCUGCACAUUGUAAAGGAGAGUACAGACGACAUGGUGGCCGAGCUGGCUCUCCUCAUGUAAAAUGUAAUUAAAUAAAUGUGUGCCAGCCAUAGUUUAAUUGUAGUUGCUCCUGACCUGAUCGCCUACAGUUGCAAAUCCUCACUGUUACAUACUUUUGCACGCGAUACAUCAUCUCUUUUUGUUACAGAUAAAUUGCAAGUUUUAGAGGACUCGCAUGCAGCAUCUAGAAAUUUUUAUGAGCCGACCCAAACUACUUGUACAGCCAUGCAUUUGGCUGUUGCGUCCGGAUCUCGUCCAGCAGGUCGUCGGCGUCGUAGGCGGCGUCCUUCAGUUUGCGCAGCCAGUCGCGCAGAGCGUGGCUCUCCUUCCCAGCGCUGCUUCGCUCCUCGGCGUCGAGAAGCACCGCCUGGAUCGCUGAGAAGUUGCUUCGGAGGUCGUCCGCGUCGUCCUUGCAGCUCCGCAGCAGCCCGAUUUCGUCCCAGAGAGCGGAGCCCAGCUUGCCCAGCACUCCCGUCACCAAAUCGAAUGCGAUCCCCUCCGCCAUCGCGCGUGCGUGCUGCUGCCUAAUUCUUCUCAAUGCGAACGUCCUACUACAGAGAAGCAGAGGAUAAUAAGGAGAUGCUCUCCACCAGUG